UCCUUCAACUAACUUGGAAAUUCCAGACCUUAAAAAAUCAAAUAAUUGUCACUUAAAAUGAGAGAAAGGGUUUGUGCGGGUGAUACGUUAACGGCGAUGUGUAUAUAAAGAGCGUAAAAUUUCGCUUUUCAUCACCAGACAUCAGUUGGCUUAGCAAUACUAAUCAACUAAACAGAAGAAAAUAAUCAAAAAAUUUCAACAUGAUCAAGGGUAUGUUGAUUCUUUUUGUCUUCGUUGCCGUAUGUGUACUAUUGGUAUCAGCACAACAUGAGUACACGGAAAACUAUCCCAUUAUCAAUUAUCGCAUAACUAGAUUCAGUCGUGACGUUGAAUCUCAGAUGAUGGCAAAGAGGAAUAGAUUUCCUGGAUGGCUGUUUGGUUAAUAUGUUUGGAAAAAUAAUAUUUAUUUGAUUGCUUGUCUGUAGCAUUGAUAAAACUGCUCCGUAGUCAAGACAACGGCUAAAAACAAGAAUUGCAGAAUUUUCAAAUAUCUGCUGUUCUUAUUUAUUAUUCGAUGUCUCAGUAUUUAUUUGAAACAAUAAAAGUGUAAUAUUGCUUGUGGUUUCAUGGUAUUUAAGUAAUAUAAAUUCUGAAACAGAA